CUCUCCACCCAUUGUGACUUACCAAACGUUCCCUCGGCGGGCUCAGCGCGCGGUGGCCUCCGGGCCUCCGGGCGUCCGCCGGGGAAAACCAAACCCUGCUUUAAUCGAAUUUCUCUGACGGGCGAAAGCCCGAAAACAAAAUGAAUCAAAAAUUUCAACAUCGGAUCUCUUGGCUCUGGCAUCGAUGAAAAACGCCUCGAAAUGGCAUGAGUAAUGUGAAUUGCACAAUUCAGUGAAUCAUCCAAUCUUUCAACGAUCAUUGGGCCCGCCGGCACUCCGGCGGGCAUGCCUGUCCCAGCGUCAUUUCAACCCUCAGGCCCACCCUUCCGGGGGAGCGGGCCUGGUUCUGGGGAUCGGUUGCCCUCUCUGCCCCCUUCCAUCAAAUUCAUUGGCGGUCGCUCCGCAUCCUCCCCUGCGAAGUACCACAACCUCGGACCGGACAGCGCGAACGACCACGCCGAAAAACACCCAGUUUUUUAAGGUUGACCUCGGAUCACGUAGGAAUACCCGCUGAACUUACCCAUAUCAAUAAGCGG
rnacentral:rRNA from 1 species